UCUUCCUGCCCCUUAGAUAAGCUCAGCAUCAGUUCCUGGAAUUGAGCAUUCUGGGCCUGGAGAUCUUUGACAGUUUGUUCGAGAGCCAUUGUUCAAUCUGUUUGAAUCUGCUGGAAUCUGUUUGAUAGGAAAAUCGUGAGAACACUGAUCCUUUAGAAUAGCUGUUAUGCGAUGCAAUGCAAUGUAUGAAAUGUUUUCAAGGACUUUCGGGAUUUAACUUUGCAUAAACUAACAAAAAGAGCUUUUUUUUCUUUUCUCUUUUGUUUUUGCUUUUGUUUUUGUUUUUUCUGUUUUUUUUAGCAGAGUUAAAUCCCUAAAUCCUUGAAAUGGUUAGUACAAUGCCAUGAUGUUAUGAUGUUAUGUUGUUAUGAUGUCAUGUUGUUAGAUAAAUAACAAGCAAUUUGUUUUUUUUUUUAGCAGAGUUAAAUCCCUAAAUCCUUGAAAUGGUUAGUACAAUGCCAUGAUGUUAUGAUGUUAUGUUGUUAUGAUGUCAUGUUGUUAGAUAAAUAACAAGCACAAGCAAGUCACACGACAGUCAUUCCUAGGUUUUAAGGCUUGCGUGAGUUCCAUAGGUAAAUACCCUCCCCACUGAAGUUUGGUUGGUUCAACCUGUCUUAGAAUAGUAACCGGGUUCUAGAAGGAUCUCAAAUCAUUGACCUUUCCGUAAGUCCACUUCAGUGCAACAC
rnacentral:lncRNA from 1 species